GGAAGCCCCCGGGGCCCCGGCGGCCGCGGGGUCUCGGGGCGGCCCGCCCGCGCCGAGCUGCCCGCGGGCGCCUUUGUGUCCGGAUCUGGGUGAACGAAACCGCCACCGUUUUGCUCUCGCGUCCGAGUUCCCUUUUCAGAUUCCCCCCAACCCCACCCCCACCCCGCUCCCCGCCCGGGAGCCGGGAGGCCACAGCCGAGGCUUCAUCGCUAAAAAGUAGACGCGGGCCCCGCCACCCCUACCCCGCCUCCGGAAGUGCCGGUCCCCGCCACCCACCCCAGGGUCCAGGCUCCCGAGACGGAAGGGUCUUUUACGGAUCAUCUCUGAAGAAAUGGAAGCUCCAGAAAGAUAAAUACCUUCUUCCAAGUCACGCCGCCUGUAAAUGGCUGAGUCGGGACGAGGAGGAAGGGAACCAACAUGGGUACCGCACCUACUCCGCGUCCAAGAGCCUCACAGAAGUCGUCUUCGCUCCAUCUGCAGAGGAGAUUCAGGGAGGUUUAGGCACCACGCCGACAUCACGCAGCGAUGAAGAGGCAGGGCUGGCAGUUGGAUGUAGGUCUAGCUGAUUCUUAUAAUCUGUAAUUCUUUUCUUUUAAAAAUAUUUACUUAUUAGGCUGCAAAGGGUCUUAGUUGUGGUCCACCGAAUCAGUGGGGGCAUGUGAAAUUUUUUUUUUUUUUUCCUGGUUGCGGCAUGUGAGAACUAGUUCCUUGACCAGGGAUUGAAGUCGGCCCCCCUGCACUGGGAGUGCCCACUCUUAGCCACUGGACCACCAGGGAAUUCCCAUAAUCUGUAAUUCUUGCUAGACCUUUAUCUGUCUGGUUCACACGUGUCUCCCCAACAUCGAGGGAAUGAAUGAAGGAAUCAAGCUCUUUCCAGUCUCCCACACCUCCAUCCAGAUUCACCCUGAUCAAAGUUAACAGACCCUAGGGGCGAUUACACGGUUGCCAUGGUAACCGAACUUUAGAAGUAAGUGCUUCAGGCAACCCAGGACAAAACCAGUGAACCCUUCUCUCUCUGCAAUAAUUACAGCUUUUCUGUCCAAGCCGACAAAGGUUAACACAAAGCAGCAAAGAGGAGAGAGUCCCUGAUGACAAUAAAGUCAUACUUUAUUGCUCUUGACCA
rnacentral:lncRNA from 1 species